rnacentral:rRNA from 1 species
ACAACGGAUCUCUUGGUUCUGGCAUCGAUGAAGAACGCAGCGAAAUGCGAUACGUAAUGUGAAUUGCAGAAUUCAGUGAAUCAUCGAAUCUUUGAACGCACAUUGCGCCUAUUAGUAUUCUAGUAGGCAUGCCUGUUCGAGCGUCAUUA